GUGGGUAUAGCUCAGCCCGGUUAGAGCGCCAGGUUGUGGCCCUGGAGGUCGGGGGUUCAAGUCCCCUUACUCACCCCA
rnacentral:tRNA from 1 species